AAAGUCCCUGUGUAAGUGGCGGGAUUAGUGGCGCAGGUUAGUGUGGGGAGUAGUGAGGAGAGAAACAGACGCUAUCGACCUGAGAGUUAAAGGGAGGAGGCAUCGCGGUGUGGGGAACAUUUUAGUUUUAUCGUGGAGGUCGACAACUCGUGGUCCUGAUAUAAACUUGUGUAUGACUUGCAAGAGGAGACGGACGUUGGAGAGAGAGAGAGACGGGUUUCCAACCGAUGGCCCGGCUGUGCUGUUUUUCCUCCUUGUGACUUCGCCACCGUGCCAUUGCCCGCUCGUGUGUUUGAUUUGUGACCGCCAAGGCGCCAACGCCAUUGCCAUUAUCAUCGUGAGACUCAUCCCCCCCCUCCUACCUCUACUAACAACACCCUGGAUUCGCGGCUUCACUGAGCAGUCUUUAUGCGGUUCUGCAGGGAGAAGCCUCUCUCCGCUGGCACACUGGAGACGGGGAUAACACAGGCUACCUUUGCCAGUUUGACCCACUCUGGGAAGAUUUCCACGUAAUCUCUUAUGAGCAUCUCGCAGGCCGAUGAAAAAUGCAAGCCCCCGUAACUGCGGAGGGCUGUCAUCAUUGGGAUGGCAUCGAUGAAUGUGGUGGCUGUUGCCGAAUCGUCCUCGCUUGCAAUGUCUUGGCCAAAAUGACCCAGCAUGGUUUGGAUUGCUGGUUCUGCAUUCUCCCCAAGUGCUGAGAGAACGGAGGGACAAUCAGUCUGUGUUUUUUUAUUUUUAGCCAAUAAACAACUAAUUAUUCCUUGGUUAUUCCUGUGUCUCCAACGUUCAUGUAACACU